rnacentral:rRNA from 1 species
UACGUAGGUGGCAAGCGUUGUCCGGAUUUACUGGGCGUAAAGAGCGCGCAGGCGGUCGUUCAAGUCGCGUGUGAAAGCCCCCGGCUCAACUGGGGAGGGUCACGCGAUACUGAUCGACUCGAAGGCAGGAGAGGGUAGUGGAAUUCCCGGUGUAGUGGUGAAAUGCGUAGAUAUCGGGGGGAACACCAGUGGCGAAGGCGGCUCUCUGGGGUGCACCUGACGCUGAUGCGCGAAAGCGUGGGGAGCGAACCGG